AGUGAACGCUGGCGGCAGGCCUAAUACAUGCAAGUCGAACGGCAGCACAGCAGAGCUUGCUCUGUGGGUGGCGAGUGGCGGACGGGUGAGGAAUACGUGGGAAUCUGCCCAGUCGUGGGGGAUAACGUAGGGAAACUUACGCUAAUACCGCAUGCGCCCUUCGGGGGAAAGCCGGGGACCUUCGGGCCUGGCGCGAUUGGAUGAGCCGACGUCGGAUUAGCUAGUUGGCGGGGUAAAGGCCCACCAAGGCGACGAGCCGUAGCUGGUCUGAGAGGAUGAUCAGCCACACUGGAACUGAGACACGGUCCAGACUCCUACGGGAGGCAGCAGUAGGGAAUAUUGGACAAUGGGCGCAAGCCUGAUCCAGCCAUGCCGCGUGAGUGAAGAAGGCCCUCGGGUUGUAAAGCUCUUUUGUCCGGAAAGAAAAGCGCCGGGUUAAUACCCUGGUGUCCUGACGGUACCGGAAGAAUAAGCACCGGCUAACUUCGUGCCAGCCGCCGCGGUAAUAC
rnacentral:rRNA from 1 species